rnacentral:rRNA from 1 species
AUGCGGGGAGCGGCACGCCAGGGUUCGCCGCCUUGGUGCGCCCUCCCCUACAAGUUUCCUGGCUUGGCGCUGCCAGCCCCAGAAGGGAAGGGUAUGAAGCCAAAUGCCCAUUUCCCCUCCAUUUAUCAUUCAGAGCAAACAAGACUGACUUGUCUCCUGGUUUAUCAUGCAGGUACCCAGGAGAUGACCAGGAAGAAGAAGACGGCUGCUGCUAGAAAUGCUGCACAGAGGAACUGCUAUUACCUUCUCCAACCAGGGGAGGCAAACACUCCUUUCCUCGCUUUCAUGAGAAGCCUCGGCAACGACAUCAUGACCAACGAACCGCCGCCAGGUUCUUGCUUCGAGAUCCUGCAUGAGAGGAAUAUCACAUUCACCGAAUACUUCAACAUUCCGAAGCUCAUUGCCAAUAACCUCAAGGACAGUUCUGCCAAGGGCACGAAGAGCAAUCUGACGGCUCUCGCAGAGAUGCUUGAUCGCGUUGUAGCAAGAGCAAGCUACAUAUAUGACAAAAAUAGCAGAGCUAACCCGGAAUUCACACACUUGAUUCAGCACAUUAAGGGCUAUCGGCAAGGUGAUUCAUUCUUUAUGACGAGGUACCAUAUGUGUACUCUGCCACUGCCCAAUAGAUGUUUUAUGUACGUUGCCAUGUAUGACUACAUAAUGGACAUCUUGAGGAACAUGGAUCCGGAAGCAUUUCAUUAUGUUAUCAGUGGUCUGCGGUAUCCUGAGGACUGGCACAUCCAGUGUCAACAUAAUACAUACCUUGCAUUCUACUACAGAAGGGGAGGAUAUGACCCGGACGCAACACUUAUUCCUGAGACAACAGACCCCCGGAUCGUACCUCUGCGCUUCCACCGGAAUGGUCCAUCGCAUGCCCUGGAGGAUGCGGCUGACCCGAUUGCAGAUCAUGGGAUGAGGUUAACAAGGCGAGAUUUGGGCCAUGUUUUGUAUUUCCAGUUCACUCACUUGAUGAUUUCAAUGGAGACAAGCCUCCACUUCCUGGGAGCGCUCUCUCAUCUAGAUGUUCAGGAUCUUUUUCCUUUUCAUGUGAGGAAGAACUAG